AUACAUCUGACGGGUCACAAAUAUGACGAAAUGUGCAUCCUGGAU
rfam:Trichobilharzia regenti genome assembly, scaffold: TRE_scaffold0010750